GAAGAGCGUGUCCACGUGUCCGUGUCCGAGGUCCUCUUAAGAAGCCUUUUCUACGCCACCUUAGACUUCCCCUCACCCCGCCCUCACGGGCAUGUUCCGGCACACCUGUCCGGGUUACCAGGGGCGGGGCUAGAGUGUCUCCCUACAUGUAUGAGUUGUGAUGCGUGGAUGAGCACACCUACCACACCACCAGCAGUCACGUCAAAGGGUUUCUAUUGCCAUGAAAAGACACCAUGACCAUGACAACUCUUACAAGGAAAACAUUCAGAAUUUGAGUCCAUUAUCAUCAUGGCAGGGAUCGUGGAACUGGUUCCCUUCUCAGCGACAAGCACAGGCUACACACGCUUAGCAAACACCGUCUGGCAGCCAAGCAAGGUGAUGAUGUGUGUCUGUGGCUGCCUGGAGCUCAUGUGUUAAAGGCCGCUUCUCCCUGGCUGGUGAGGCUACAGGAGCUGGUGGGG
rnacentral:lncRNA from 1 species